UAGAGUUUGAUCCUGGCUCAGGAUGAACGCUAGCGACAGGCUUAACACAUGCAAGUCGAGGGGCAGCGGGGAGGUAGCAAUACUUCCGCCGGCGACCGGCGCACGGGUGAGUAACACGUAUGGAACCUGCCCGUAGCAGGGGGAUAAGCGGAAGAAAUUCCGUCUAAUACCGCGUAAUAACUCCGAGAGGCAUCUCAUGGAGUUUAAAGGGUAAUACCGGCUACGGAUGGCCAUGCGGCGCAUUAGCUAGUUGGCGGGGUAACGGCCCACCAAGGCGACGAUGCGUAGGGGUUCUGAGAGGAAGGUCCCCCACACUGGUACUGAGACACGGACCAGACUCCUACGGGAGGCAGCAGUGAGGAAUAUUGGUCAAUGGGCGCGAGCCUGAACCAGCCAAGUCGCGUGAGGGAAGACGGUCCUAUGGAUUGUAAACCUCUUUUGUCGGGGAGCAAAAGACGCCACGUGUGGCGUUCCGAGAGUACCCGAAGAAAAAGCAUCGGCUAACUCCGUGCCAGCAGCCGCGGUAAUACGGAGGAUGCGAGCGUUAUCCGGAUUUAUUGGGUUUAAAGGGUGCGCAGGCGGAAGAUCAAGUCAGCGGUAAAAUUGAGAGGCUCAACCUCUUCGAGCCGUUGAAACUGGUUUUCUUGAGUGAGCGAGAAGUAUGCGGAAUGCGUGGUGUAGCGGUGAAAUGCAUAGAUAUCACGCAGAACUCCGAUUGCGAAGGCAGCAUACCGGCGCUCAACUGACGCUCAUGCACGAAAGUGUGGGUAUCGAACAGGAUUAGAUACCCUGGUAGUCCACACAGUAAACGAUGAAUACUAAUUGUUCGGGGAGAAUGAUCCCUGAGUGAUACAGCGAAAGCGUUAAGUAUUCCACCUGGGGAGUACGCCGGCAACGGUGAAA
rnacentral:rRNA from 1 species